rfam:Trichobilharzia regenti genome assembly, scaffold: TRE_contig0004801
AGUCCCAAAUAGGACGAAAUGCGCAUCCUGGAU